AGGAUGAACGCUGGCGGCGUGCCUAACACAUGCAAGUCGAACGGAGUUGUCACCAUGAAGUUUCGGAUGGAUUGGUAACAACUUAGUGGCGGACGGGUGAGUAACGCGUGGGUAACCUGCCUCAUACUGGGGGAUAACAGCUGGAAACGGCUGCUAAAACCGCAUAAGAUCGCAUCACCGCAUGGUAAGGCGGUUAAAUAUCGAAAGAUAGGUAUGAGAUGGGCCCGCGUCUGAUUAGCUAGUUGGUGAGAUAAGAGCCCACCAAGGCGACGAUCAGUAGCCGGCUUGAGAGAGUGACCGGCCACAUUGGGACUGAGACACGGCCCAAACUCCUACGGGAGGCAGCAGUGGGGAAUAUUGCACAAUGGGGGAAACCCUGAUGCAGCGACGCCGCGUGAGUGAAGAAGUGCUUCGGCAUGUAAAGCUCUAUCAGCAGGGAAGAAGAUGACGGUACCUGACUAAGAAGCCCCGGCUAACUACGUG
rnacentral:rRNA from 1 species